rnacentral:rRNA from 1 species
ACAUGCAGUCGAGGGGCAGCAUGAACUUAGCUUGCUAAGUUUGAUGGCGACCGGCGCACGGGUGAGUAACACGUAUCCAACCUUCCGUUUACUCAGGGAUAGCCUUUCGAAAGAAAGAUUAAUACCUGAUAGUAUGGUGAGAUUGCAUGAUAGCACCAUUAAAGAUUUAUUGGUAAACGAUGGGGAUGCGUUCCAUUAGGUAGUAGGCGGGGUAACGGCCCACCUAGCCGACGAUGGAUAGGGGUUCUGAGAGGAAGGUCCCCCACAUUGGAACUGAGACACGGUCCAAACUCCUACGGGAGGCAGCAGUGAGGAAUAUUGGUCAAUGGGCGAGAGCCUGAACCAGCCAAGUAGCGUGAAGGAUGAAGGUCCUACGGAUUGUAAACUUCUUUUAUACGGGAAUAAAGUAUCCUACGUGUAGGAUUUUGUAUGUACCGUAUGAAUAAGCAUCGGCUAACUCCGUGCCAGCAGCCGCGGUAAUACGGAGGAUGCGAGCGUUAUCCGGAUUUAUUGGGUUUAAAGGGAGCGUAGGCGGGUUGUUAAGUCAGUUGUGAAAGUUUGCGGCUCAACCGUAAAAUUGCAGUUGAUACUGGCGACCUUGAGUGCAACAGAGGUAGGCGGAAUUCGUGGUGUAGCGGUGAAAUGCUUAGAUAUCACGAAGAACUCCGAUUGCGAAGGCAGCUUACUGGAUUGUAACUGACGCUGAUGCUCGAAAGUGUGGGUAUCAAACAGGAUUAGAUACCCUGGUAGUCCACACAGUAAACGAUGAAUACUCGCUGUUGGCGAUAUACAGUCAGCGGCCAAGCGAAAGCAUUAAGUAUUCCACCUGGGGAGUACGCCGGCAACGGUGAAACUCAAAGGAAUUGACGGGGGCCCGCACAAGCGGAGGAACAUGUGGUUUAAUUCGAUGAUACGCGAGGAACCUUACCCGGGCUUAAAUUGCAACUGACGGAACC